rnacentral:tRNA from 1 species
GCCAGCGUAGCUCAGUGGCAGAGCAACUGUUUUGUAAACAGUAGGUCGUCGGUUCAAAUCCGACCGCUGGCU